CUCUAAGGUGACUGCCGGUGACAAACCGGAGGAAGGUGGGGAUGACGUCAAAUCAUCAUGCCCCUUAUGACCUGGGCUACACACGUGCUACAAUGGGUGGUACAAAGGGCAGCAAAGCCGCGAGGCCGAGCGAAUCCCAUAAAGCCACUCUCAGUUCGGAUUGCAGGCUGCAACUCGCCUGCAUGAAGCCGGAAUUGCUAGUAAUCGCGGAUCAGCAUGCCGCGGUGAAUACGUUCCCGGGCCUUGUACACACCGCCCGUCACACCACGAGAGCUUGUAACACCCGAAGUCGGUGAGGUAACCUUUUGGAGCCAGCCGCCGAAGGUGGGACAGGUGAUUGGGGUGAAGUCGUA
rnacentral:rRNA from 1 species